UAGUAAGUUGGUGCAAAAGUAAUUGUGGUUUUUGACAUUACCAAAAUUUUUUGCUAUUACAAUACCAAAAACCUCAAUUACUUUUGCACCACCCUAAUACU
rnacentral:miRNA from 1 species